AACGACCUUAUCUGUGACAACAGUAACAGCUAGGCAACUUCGGUGCUGGACACGGUUUUCUGUAGAAAUCCUGAAAUAUACAGAGUGUAUUACCAUAUGCUUGCUUCUUUGAGUAUGUGCCUGAAACAAGAAUGUCCUGGAGAAAACGGACCACAACAAGAAAAGAGAUGGAGAGGAAGGGCUUGCUGUUGAGAGAUCAUGGGGUGCCUUGAGCCUUG